AGCGAACGCUGGCGGCAGGCUUAACACAUGCAAGUCGAACGCCUCGCAAGGGGAGUGGCAGACGGGUGAGUAACACGUGGAAACGUACCCUUUGGUUCGGAAUAACUUGGGGAAACUCAAGCUAAUACCGGAUAAGCCCUUAUGGGGAAAGGUUUACUGCCGAAGGAUCGGCCCGCGUCUGAUUAGCUAGUUGGUGAGGUAAUGGCUCACCAAGGCGACGAUCAGUAGCUGGUCUGAGAGGAUGAUCAGCCACACUGGGACUGAGACACGGCCCAGACUCCUACGGGAGGCAGCAGUGGGGAAUAUUGGACAAUGGGGGCAACCCUGAUCCAGCCAUGCCGCGUGAGUGAUGAAGGCCUUAGGGUUGUAAAGCUCUUUUACCCGGGACGAUAAUGACUGUACCGGGAGAAUAAGCCCCGGCUAACUUCGUGCCAGCAGCCGCCGUAA
rnacentral:rRNA from 1 species